rnacentral:rRNA from 1 species
UAGGGAAUCUUCCGCAAUGGACGCAAGUCUGACGGAGCAACGCCGCGUGAGUGAAGAAGGAUUUCGGUUCGUAAAACUCUGUUGUUAGAGAAGAACAGCGCAUAGAGUAACUGUUAUGCGUGUGACGGUAUCUAACCAGAAAGCCACGGCUAACUACGUGCCAGCAGCCGCGGUAAUACGUAGGUGGCAAGCGUUGUCCGGAUUUAUUGGGCGUAAAGCGAGCGCAGGCGGUCAAUUAAGUCUGAUGUGAAAGCCCCCGGCUCAACCGGGGAGGGUCAUUGGAAACUGGUUGACUUGAGUGCAGAAGAGGAGAGUGGAAUUCCAUGUGUAGCGGUGAAAUGCGUAGAUAUAUGGAGGAACACCAGUGGCGAAGGCGACUCUCUGGUCUGUAACUGACGCUGAGGCUCGAAAGCAUGGGUAGCAAACAGG